UACGUAGGGGGCAAGCGUUUGUCCGGAAUUAUUGGGCGUAAAGAGCGCGUAGGCGGUCCGAUAAGUCGGCUGUGAAAGUCAGGGGCUUAACCCUUGAAAGCCGGCCGAUACUGUCGGACUGGAGUCCGGAAGAGGCAAGUGGAAUUCCCGGUGUAGCGGUGAAAUGCGCAGAUAUCGGGAGGAACACCAAUGGCGAAGGCAGCUUGCUGGGACGGUACUGACGCUGAGGCGCGAAAGCGUGGGGAGCAAACAGGAGUUAGAUAACCCCAG
rnacentral:rRNA from 1 species